AAUAAUUAAAAAUAACAUGAGUGAUAGAAAAUAAGGAAUAUUAGAUUUAUUAAUAAAAUAAUAAGAAAAUAAAACAUGUAGAAGAAUUGAGAGCAAGGUUGGAAUUAGGGAAAAUAUGUAGGAUAAGAAGGGAAAAACCUAAUUAGAAGGAAAUAGGUUUUUGGAAGAAAAUAGGAUUUGGAAGAACCUAAAAGAGUCAGUACGUAUUUUUGAAGAGGCGGAGCAAAAGAGGCAAAAAGGGAGAGUUAGG
rnacentral:lncRNA from 1 species